rnacentral:rRNA from 1 species
UACGAGUGAGGCAAGCGUUGUUCGGAUUUACUGGGCGUAAAGCGCACGUAGGCGGAUAUUUAAGUCAGAGGUGAAAUCCCAGGGCUCAACCCUGGAACUGCCUUUGAUACUGGAUGUCUUGAGUAUGGAAGAGGUGAGUGGAAUUCCGAGUGUAGAGGUAAAAUUCGUAGAUAUUCGGAGGAACACCAGUGGCGAAGGCGGCUCACUGGUCCAUUACUGACGCUGAGGUGCGAAAGCGUGGGGAGCAAACA